GACGAACGCUGGCGGCGUGCUUAACACAUGCAAGUCGAACGGAAAGGCCCUGCUUUUGUGGGGUGCUCGAGUGGCGAACGGGUGAGUAACACGUGAGUAACCUGCCCUUGACUUUGGGAUAACUUCAGGAAACUGGGGCUAAUACCGGAUAGGAGCUCCUGCUGCAUGGUGGGGGUUGGAAAGUUUCGGCGGUUGGGGAUGGACUCGCGGCUUAUCAGCUUGUUGGUGGGGUAGUGGCUUACCAAGGCUUUGACGGGUAGCCGGCCUGAGAGGGUGACCGGGCAGAGGGGGAAGAGGAGACGGCGCAGGCGGCGACGGGAGGGAGGAGGGGGGAAGAGGGAACACGGGGGGAGGGGCUGAUGAAGCAUCGCCGCGUGAGGGAAGAAGGAGUUCGGGUUGUAAAAAGAUUUGGCCGGUGAAGAAGCGGGAGUGACGGGGAUGGAUAAAGAAGGAAAGGCUAACUACGGG
rnacentral:rRNA from 1 species